rnacentral:rRNA from 1 species
UACGUAGGGGGGCUAGCGUUGUCCGGAUUUACUGGGCGUAAAGAGCGCGCAGGCGGUCGAUCAAGUCGCGUGUGAAAGCCCCCCGGCUCAACUGGGGAGGGUCACGCGAUACUGAUCGACUCGAAGGCAGGAGAGGGUAGUGGAAUUCCCGGUGUAGAGGUGAAAUUCGUAGAUAUCGGGAGGAACACCGGUGGCGAAGGGCGGCGACCUGGGGUCGACACUGACGCUGAGGCGCGAAAGCGUGGGGGAGCAAACAGG